rnacentral:rRNA from 1 species
UCAGGAUGAACGCUGGCGGCGUGCUUAACACAUGCAAGUCGAACGAGGGUUACUGGUUGAAGUUUCGGAUGGAAACCGGUAAUUCCUAGUGGCGGACGGGUGAGUAACGCGUGGGGAACCUGCCCCGCUCCGGGGGAUACCAGCUGGAAACGGCUGUUAAUACCGCAUAAGCGCACAGUAUCGCAUGAUGCAGUGUGAAAAACUCCGGUGGAACGGGAUGGCCCCGCGUCUGAUUAGCCAGUUGGCAGGGUAACGGCCUACCAAAGCGACGAUCAGUAGCCGGCCUGAGAGGGCGACCGGCCACAUUGGGACUGAGACACGGCCCAAACUCCUACGGGAGGCAGCAGUGGGGAAUAUUGCACAAUGGGGGAAACCCUGAUGCAGCCGACGCCGCGUGAGUGAGGAAGUAUUUCGGUAUGUAAAGCUCUAUCAGCAGGGAAGAAGAUGACGGUACCUGCACAAGAAGCCCCGGCUAACUACGUGCCAGCAGCGGC